ACAGGCUUAACACAUGCAAGUCGAGGGGUAACACAAGGUAGCAAUACUGAGGUGACGACCGGCGCACGGGUGAGUAACACGUAUCCAACCUACCAUUUACUCUUGGAUAGCCUUCUGAAAAGGAGAUUAAUACAAGAUAGUAUCAUGAGUUCACAUGUUCACAUGAUUAAAGAAUUUCGGUAAUUGAUGGGGAUGCGUUCCAUUAGAUAGUAGGCGGGGUAACGGCCCACCUAGUCUACGAUGGAUAGGGGUUCUGAGAGGAAGGUCCCCCACACUGGUACUGAGACACGGACCAGACUCCUACGGGAGGCAGCAGUGAGGAAUAUUGGUCAAUGGGCGCAAGCCUGAACCAGCCAAGUAGCGUGAAGGAUGACGG
rnacentral:rRNA from 1 species